rnacentral:lncRNA from 1 species
AUGGAGGAAUCUCUGUCCAUUUGUGCUUCUCAGAUCCUGUACGAACAUCCCCAGAGGACUGCCGGCAGGCAACAGCCCUGCCAUGCCUCCAACGAUGUGGUAUUUUUGUUUCCUGCUCCCUACUGCGCACUCCAGCAGGAUUUUACCCUUCAUUCCCUGCCAGUUCCACAAGGCUGCAAUUGCCCGGCUGCUUCCUGCAAAGGUUACAGCAUCCAGCUUGAUGGCAUCGUGGACAACUGCCAGCUGAGAGAUCUGAGAAGGUCAGGAGCAGAGAGCAGUUUGGAGACACUAACGCCUGCGAGGGAGCCGCGGCGGUCUGCAGCACCAUCAGCACAGCUCCAGGCCCUCGGGGACAUGGCUUGGAGAUGCCGCAGAAGGGGACCUCACCUCUGGGAGUACUCACGCUGACCUUCUUGGACAGAGGUAAUUUUCCAAAUGCAGCCGCUGGAUGGAAGAGCCGGCAGAGGAGAUGGUGAAAAUGUAAUUUAUAUGAUCUAGUCGCAAACUUUAGUUUCCACUGAAACUUGGGUCACUGCUGCAAAACAGCCUCUGGAACAAGGAGGCGUGAUGACUGGUCUCACGCUGAUGUGUGCCCAUCUGGCCGUUUUCUGAAUCAAAAGAUAAACACCACUGCAUGCAUGGCAUCAGCAUAAAUCCGUAGCGUUACGAUGAAUCUUGAUAGAAGGAUACCUUGGAAGCCUAGAGGAUUAUUUUUAUUUAACAAUGGCUAUUUCUAGAUUGAUGUACGUGCAAGAAUGUAGUUCCACUGCGACUACAGCAUGUGAAACAAGGUCUGUAUGGGAUAUAUGGCAAGUUCUACCCAGCUAGAAUUUCAAUUUCCAACCUUUGCUAUCAAUUUCUUGCUUAAAAUCUUGUAAGAGUUAACCAAGGAUGGUAGCUCUCCACCCAAACUGCAGUGCGUUCCCUCAUCCAGAAUACACGUAUGGUACACAGGGAAGAAGUUCCCCUUUUUGGUCACCAAGCUGUAAGGCACCGGGAGCACUUGGGCUUGAUUUGCUAUCAAGCUGCCGAUGAAGACACCUUUGGAUCUGGUGAUCGACCCUCUGAUAGCAUGUGACAGGUCUUGUCAUACCGACAGCAACACGCUUCAGUCAAAACCAAGUGAAUGUUUUGAGCUGUGAAAGUGUCUUUAAGCAGCUGCCUGGCUACCAGUUAUCGGUUCAUUAUGGAUUUUAAACAAUACAGAAAUGUAUCUUGCAGGGAAGACACCUAUUAUGGUUUUACAGGUGAGAGUUAAUACUAAUUAGAUGUUUUGGUAGUCACAGGCUUAAUUAGUUCACUUGAACCUUGUUUUUCAAAGUAGGACAGACAUAAAGUUGCCAUAAUAUUUUACCAAAAUAGACAUGUACUAUAAAGAAGUGAAACAAAUUCCUCACCGCUCUCUCCCACGCCCUGACAAGCCGAUAAAAAUGAUAUUAGGUGAUUAAACGCAGAAAUAAAAAAGGAGGCAGACAUAAUGAUAAACUGUAA